AGAGUUUGAUCCUGGCUCAGGAUGAACGCUAGCGGGAGGCCUAAUACAUGCAAGUCGAGGGGUAGAACCGACUUCGGUUGGUUUGAGACCGGCGCACGGGUGAGUAACGCGUACGCAACCUGCCCUUAACAGAGGGAUAGCCCUGGGAAACUGGGAUUAAUACCUCAUAGCUUGUUCGGAUCGCAUGGUUUGAACAAUAAAGCUCAGGUGGUUAAGGAUGGGCGUGCGUCUGAUUAGGUAGUUGGUGAGGUAACGGCUCACCAAGCCAACGAUCAGUAGGGGGCGUGAGAGCGUGACCCCCCACACGGGUACUGAGACACGGACCCGACUCCUACGGGAGGCAGCAGUAAGGAAUAUUGGACAAUGGGCGAGAGCCUGAUCCAGCCAUCCCGCGUGCAGGAUGACGGCCCUACGGGUUGUAAACUGCUUUUCUGCACCAAGAAACCUAUCCAUUUAUGGGUAGCUGACGGUAGUGCAGGAAUAAGCACCGGCUAACUCCGUGCCAGCAGCCGCGGUAAUACGGAGGGUGCAAGCGUUAUCCGGAAUCACUGGGUUUAAAGGGUGCGUAGGCGGAAUAAUAAGUCAGGCGUGAAAGGUCACGGCUUAACUGUGGAAUUGCGUUUGAUACUGUUAUUCUUGAAUUAA
rnacentral:rRNA from 1 species